UACAGAGGGGGCAAGCGUUGUUCGGAAUUACUGGGCGUAAAGGGCGCGUAGGCGGCCUUCUAAGUCGAACGUGAAAUCCCCGGGCUCAACCCGGGAACUGCGUCCGAUACUGGAAGGCUUGAAUCCGGGAGAGGGAUGCGGAAUUCCAGGUGUAGCGGUGAAAUGCGUAGAUAUCUGGAGGAAUACCGGUGGCGAAGGCGGCAUCCUGGACCGGCAUUGACGCUGAACAGCGAAAGCUAGGGGAGCAAACGGG
rnacentral:rRNA from 1 species